UAUCCCCAAGUAAGGAAUAACGUCGAGAAAUUCGGCGCUAAUACCUCAUAAUGCAGCGGAUCCGCAUGGAUAUGUUGUUAAAGGUUUACCGCCUUGGGAUAGGCUUGCGUCUGAUUAGCUAGUUGGUGUGGUAAUGGCACACCAAGGCUACGAUCAGUAACUGGUCUGAGAGGAUGAUCAGUCACACUGGAACUGAGACACGGUCCAGACUCCUACGGGAGGCAGCAGUGAGGAAUAUUGGGCAAUGCACGAAAGUGUGACCCAGCAACGCCGCGUGGAGGAUGAAGGUAUUCUAUAUCGUAAACUCCUGUGAGAGCAGACGAAAGACAGAUUAUUAAUUUGGAUGACUGUAUGCUCAGAGGAAGCCCCGGCUAACUACGUG
rnacentral:rRNA from 1 species